GAUCCUGAAGAGCAAUGGUAGCUCAUCUUACUCCAGAUCAGAAAGUUGUCCGUUCGAAUCGGGCCGCGGUUG
rnacentral:tRNA from 1 species